rnacentral:rRNA from 1 species
GGGGAAUAUUGCACAAUGGGCGCAAGCCUGAUGCAGCCAUGCCGCGUGUAUGAAGAAGGCCUUCGGGUUGUAAAGUACUUUCAGCGGGGAGGAAGGGAGUAAAGUUAAUACCUUUGCUCAUUGACGUUACCCGCAGAAGAAGCACCGGCUAACUCCGUG